CGAUCCUUUUGUAAUUGAUUUGAAGUGCUUGCACGGAUUUGAUAUUACAUUAUGGGGAUAGCGGCAAACGGGUGAGGAACACGUGAGAAAUUUUCCUUAAAGACGAACAUAGCUUCGUGAAAACGGAGGUAAUAUUCGAUAUGGCCAUAGAAUCGCAUGAUUCAUUGGUUAAAGGUGGGGACCUUCGGGCCUGCCGCUUUAAGAUGGUCUCGCGGCCUAUCAGCUUGUUGGUGAGGUAAUGGCUCACCAAGGCAUUUGACGGGUAGCUGGUCUGAGAGGAUGGUCAGCCACACUGGGACUGAGACACUGCCCAGACUCCUACGGGAGGCUGCAGUCGAGAAUCUUUAGCAAUGGACGAAAGUCUGACUAUGCGACGCCGCGUGCAGGAUGAAGGAUUUCGGUUCGUAAACUGCUUUUGUCAGGAAAGAAAAUUUCAGUAUUAAUAGUGCUGGAACUGACGGUACCUGACGAAUAAGCCACGGCCAACUCCGUGCCAGCAGCCGCGGUAAUACGGGGGUGGCAAGCGUUACUCGGAAUUAUUGGGUGUAAAGGGUAAGUAGGCGGUCUAUUAAGUGAGGGGUGAAAUCUUCCGACUCAAUCGGAAAAUUGCCUUUCAAACUAAUAGACUUGAGACUGGAAGAGGGAAAUGGAAUUAGCAGUGUAAGGGUGAAAUCUGUAGAUAUUGCUAAGAACACCAGCGGCGAAGGCGGUUUCCUGGUCCAAGUCUGACGCUAAAUUACGAAAGCU
rnacentral:rRNA from 1 species